GAUGAACGCUGGCGGCGUGCCUAAUACAUGCAAGUCGAGCGAACAGAUAAGGAGCUUGCUCCCUUGACGUUAGCGGCGGACGGGUGAGUAACACGUGGGUAACCUACCUAUAAGACUGGGAUAACUUCGGGAAACCGGAGCUAAUACCGGAUAACAUUUGGAACCGCAUGGUUCUAAAGUGAAAGAUGGUUUUGCUAUCACUUAUAGAUGGACCCGCGCCGUAUUAGCUAGUUGGUAAGGUAACGGCUUACCAAGGCAACGAUACGUAGCCGACCUGAGAGGGUGAUCGGCCACACUGGAACUGAGACACGGUCCAGACUCCUACGGGAGGCAGCAGUAGGGAAUCUUCCGCAAUGGGCGAAAGCCUGACGGAGCAACGCCGCGUGAGUGAUGAAGGGUUUCGGCUCGUAAAACUCUGUUAUUAGGGAAGAACAAACGUGUAAGUAACUGUGCACGUCUUGACGGUACCUAAUCAGAAAGCCACGGCUAACUACGUG
rnacentral:rRNA from 1 species